UGGGCGAAAGCCUGAUGCAGCAACGCCGCGUGAAGGAAGAAGGGUUUCGGCUCGUAAACUUCUAUCAACAGGGACGAAAAAAAUGACGGUACCUGAAUAAGAAGCCCCGGCUAACUACGUGCCAGCAGCCGCGGUAAUACGUAGGGGGCAAGCGUUAUCCGGAAUUACUGGGUGUAAAGGGAGAGUAGGCGGCAUGGUAAGUUAGAUGUGAAAGCCCGAGGCUUAACCUCGGGAUUGCAUUUAAAACUAUCAAGCUAGAGUACAGGAGAGGUAAGUGGAAUUCCUAGUGUAGCGGUGAAAUGCGUAGAUAUUAGGAAGAACACCAGUGGCGAAGGCGACUUACUGGACUGAAACUGACGCUGAGGCUCGAAAGCGUGGGGAGCGAACAGGAUUAGAUACCCUGGUAGUCCACGCUGUAAACGAUGAGUGCUAGGUGUCGGGGGGGAACCCUCGGUGCCGCAGCUAACGCAAUAAGCACUCCACCUGGGGAGU
rnacentral:rRNA from 1 species